GAUGAACGCUGGCGGCGUGCCUAAUACAUGCAAGUCGAGCGAACGGACGAGAAGCUUGCUUUUCUGAUGUUAGCGGCGGACGGGUGAGUAACACGUGGAUAACCUACCUAUAAGACUGGGAUAACUUCGGGAAACCGGUGCUAAUACCGGAUAAUAUUUUGAACGGCAUGGUUCAAAAGUGAAAGACGGUCUUGCUGUCACUUAUAGACGGAUCCGCGCUGCAUUAGCUAGUUGGUAAGGUAACGGCCUACCAAGGCAACGAUGCAUAGCCGACCUGAGAGGGUGAUCAGCCACACUGGAACUGAGACACGGUCCAGACUCCUACGGGAGGCAGCAGUAGGGAAUCUUCCGCAAAGGGCGAAAGCCUGACGGAGCAACGCCGCGUGAGUGAUGAAGGUCUUCGGAUCGUAAAACUCUGUUAUUAGGGAAGAACAUAUGUGUAAGUAACUGUGCACAUCUUGACGGUACCUAAUCAGAAAGCCACGGCUAACUACGUG
rnacentral:rRNA from 1 species